rnacentral:rRNA from 1 species
AUACGGAGGGUGCAAGCGUUAUCCGGAAUUAUUGGGUUUAAAGGGUCCGUCGGCGGCUAGAUAAGACAGUGGUGAAAUUCUCUCGCUCAACGAGAGACCUGCCAUUGAUACUGUCUUGGCUAGAGUUACAGUGAGGUGAGUGGAAUGUGUGGUGUAGCGGUGAAAUGCAUAGAUAUCACACAGAACACCGAUUGCGAAGGCAGCUCACUAACUGUAUACUGACGCUGAUGGACGAAAGCGUGGGGAGCAAACAGGAUUAGAAACCCCAGUAGUCC